rnacentral:rRNA from 1 species
UACAGAGGGUGCAAGCGUUGUUCGGAUUUACUGGGCGUAAAGGGCGCGUAGGCGGCCACUGCAAGUCGGUUGUGAAAUCUCCGGGCUUAACCCGGAAAGGUCAAUCGAUACUGCAGGGCUAGAGUGCGGAAGGGGCAACUGGAAUUCUCGGUGUAGCGGUGAAAUGCGUAGAUAUCGAGAGGAACACCUGCGGCGAAGGCGGGUUGCUGGGCCGACACUGACGCUGACAGCGCGAAAGCUAGGGGAGCGAACGGG